rnacentral:rRNA from 2 species
UGGGGAAUAUUGCGCAAUGGGGGCAACCCUGACGCAGCAACGCCGCGUGCAGGAAGAAGGUCUUCGGAUUGUAAACUGUUGUCGCAAGGGAAGAAGACAGUGACGGUACCUUGUGAGAAAGUCACGGCUAACUACGUGCCAGCAGCCGCGGUAAUACGUAGGUGACAAGCGUUGUCCGGAUUUACUGGGUGUAAAGGGCGCGUAGGCGGACUGUCAAGUCAGUCGUGAAAUACCGGGGCUUAACCCCGGGGCUGCGAUUGAAACUGACAGCCUUGAGUAUCGGAGAGGAAAGCGGAAUUCCUAGUGUAGCGGUGAAAUGCGUAGAUAUUAGGAGGAACACCAGUGGCGAAGGCGGCUUUCUGGACGACAACUGACGCUGAGGCGCGAAAGUGUGGGGAGCAAACA